GACGAACGCUGGCGGCGUGCUUAACACAUGCAAGUCGAACGGAAAGGCCCUGCUUUUGUGGGGUGCUCGAGUGGCGAACGGGUGAGUAACACGUGAGUAACCUGCCCUUGACUUUGGGAUAACUUCAUGAAACUGGGGCUAAUACCGGAUAGGAGCUCCUGCUGCAUGGUGGGGGUUGGAAAGUUUCGGCGGUUGGGGAUGGACUCGCGGCUUAUCAGCUUGUUGGUGGGGUAGUGGCUUACCAAGGCUUUGACGGGUAGCCGGCCUGAGAGGGUGACCGGCCACAUUGGGACUGCGAUACGGCCCAGACUCCUACGGGAGGCAGCAGUGGGGAAUAUUGCACAAUGGGCGGGAGCCUGAUGCAGCAACGCCGCGUGCGGGAUGACGGCCUUCGGGUUGUAAACCGCUUUCGCCUGUGACGACGCGUGAGUGACGGUAAUGGGUAAAGAAGCACCGGCUAACUACGUG
rnacentral:rRNA from 1 species